rnacentral:lncRNA from 1 species
GAUGCUUUUCCCAGCGUGUUAGCAUUUUACUCAACACUCGGGGAGGGAUUGAUUUUUAUGACAUAGCCAUUUCCUCAGUUUGACCCUGUCCUGAUGGCUCUAUGUUUAUGUCUGCUUCUUGAGUCUUGACAACAGUUCCCUUUGCAGGCCUGUCUGUCUUGAUUAGGAGUAACCAGAGAGACGGUAGGCAGAGGUACCAAGGAAAAGUCUUAAUACUGCCUCCUGGGCAGUUCCCUCUGUCUGCUUUAUGCAGUCCACGUGGUGCUCUGAAUCACUGUUGUCCUAGCUUAGGGGGUUUGGGGAAAGCGUGAGACGCUGGCCUAGGUCUCUUAAGGAAAGCAUUAGGAGCAGACAGUGUUUGUCCCCAGUGUGACUAUACACACCUGUAAUCCUUUCAGGGGGAGGCUGCGGCAGAAAAAUUGCUACAAGUUUGUGAUCAGACUGAGCUGAGGCCAGCUAAGGGAUAGACCUUAUUCUCCCUGCAUAAGCAAAAAAGAAGGAGAAGAAAUAAAGCAAACUACUGGUUAUGGUGACAUGCUGGCUGCUGUAGUCCCAGCACUUGGGAGGUGGGAUCAGGAGAAUCAGGGUUCAGUUUCAUUCCCAUAAGGCUUGCUUGGGCUACAUGACACCCUCUGUUAGAAAGGCAGGGAGCAUUGAGUUGGCUCAGGGGCUAAAGGGUAUGCAAGCCUGAUAGUCUGAGUACAGUCUCACAAUCCCACAGUGGACAGAGAAAGCUGACUGCUACAAGUUGUAUUCUUUUAUAUGUGUGUGUAUAUGUGUAUAUAUAUCAUAAAUAUAAUAUAUAUAAUAUUAUAUAUGAUAUGUUUAUUAUAUUCUAUAUAGAUACAUAAAGAUAUCUAUAUAAAAUGUUAUAAUAGUCAUUUAUAAUUUUAGUAGAGCCUAAUUAGCCAUGUGCUCAUGUUUAAUCUUGGCACUUGGGAGAUGAUUGUAGGCCUAAUCUCCAUGGCAAGUUCCAGAUCAGACAGGGCUACGUAGUGAGCUCUCAUCUCAACAGCAAUUAAUACAGCUGUACAUAGUAAGCUCUUGUCUCAACAAAACCAAAUGAAUGAAUGACUAAGUAGCUCUCAGCAAUGGAGACUGAGGAAGUGGCUCAGUUCAUACAGUGCUUGCAAGCACAGCCUGAGAGUCCUCAGAACUCACAAGAAAGCUGGGUGUGGGGCUCAGCGUGGUGCAGACCUUUCCUCCCAGCGCUGGGGGCUGACUCAGGCCGGUCUGUGCAAGUGUGCGGCCAGCUUCAUCUACAUACCAAGUUCUAGCAAGGGCUGCUUGGAGAGACCCUGUCCCCCAAAGGGAAAACGAAGAAACCCUGCGGCGAGGGCGGGGACAGGAGGAUCCCGGGGCUUGCUGGUUAGGCAGGCAGUUGGGCCUAAUUAGUGACUUACAGGUCAAGAAGAGAUGCUGUCCCAGAGUAGACGGCUGGUGUUCAGGAUGAUUCCUGAGGUUGUCCCCAGGCCGCCUCAGACGUGCACAUGCUCACACUCAAAAAAAAAAAAAAAGGACAAAGAAAUGAAACUGGAUAUGAUAGCACAUGUCCAGAAAUCCCAGCUCUCAGGAGGCUGAGGUAGGAGGAUUGCCAUGAGUUCAAGGCCAACCUGGGCUAAAUGAGUUCCAUGAUACUACAAAAAAUGACAACCUGUCUUU